AUGAUUUACAUUUGAGUGAGUGGCGAACUGGUGAGUAACACGUGGGAAACCUGCCCAGAAGCGGGGGAUAACACCUGGAAACAGAUGCUAAUACCGCAUAACAACUUGGACCGCAUGGUCCGAGCUUGCCAUAUGGAUUCGGCUAUCACUUUUGGAUGGCCCCGCGGCGUAUUAGCUAGAUGGUGGGGUAACGGCUCACCAUGGCAAUGAUACGUAGCCGACCUGAGAGGGUAAUCGGCCACAUUGGGACUGAGACACGGCCCGUCUACCUACGGGAGGCAGCAGUAGGGAAUCUUCCACAAUGGACGAAAGUCUGAUGGAGCAUCGCCGCGUGAGUGAAGAAGGUAUUCGGCUCGUAAAACUCUGUUGUUAAAGAAGAACAUAUCUGAGAG
rnacentral:rRNA from 2 species